GUACUGAUACCUUGGGGUAAGAGAAUCCUAAAGAAUUAAAAAAUAACCAAGUUUUGUACUGUCUGUAUUACUGACAAAUCCUAUAUAGUUAGAACUUGCAAGUAACCAAGAAAAACUCAUUGCGAAGAUUGUCAUACUUGUUCAUAUAACUAGAAUAUGCAGUGGAAAUCAGAAAAUUAACAACGGCAAUUAAUGUCUCUGAAAUCAAACAAAAGGAUAUUAAGGAUGAUAAGUUACGGCAUAAGUAGGGUUAUGAUAGUCCUCAGAGUGCACUGUCUUUAAUGUUCGAAAUAAAGGAUGCUCCGGAGUAUCAUAUCUCCCAUCACACAAGUCAAGUCCUCCAACAAAUGCUACGAUUUUUCUUCGAUUGUUGCCGGCAUCAGCAUCUAUUAUCACAGUUUUCUGAUGAUGUGUAUAAAUUACUCCAACUUCCCUCUGCUUGACCCAACUGUGGCGCUUCCCUGCUACUCGAGGACAAAGCAGCACUUUCACGGAAGAAUGCUUGAAAAAAC
rnacentral:misc_RNA from 1 species